rnacentral:lncRNA from 1 species
GACUGACAGCCUGCAGCUCUGCCAGCUUUUUUCCCAAGCUGAGACCCUUCUGGGACCAUGGGGACAGGCCCACGUGUGGCCUGCACAACACAGCACCAGUCCAGGAUCCCACAGCCAGCUCCAGGCAGGCUCAGGGUUGGAACAGCAGGAACUGUGUUAGUUGGGACAAAUUAGAGCCCUUUGGCCAAGAUGCUGGAGCUGGUUUUGCUGUUCCAGGGGUUAAAGCUAACUCAGAACCCCUGUUCCACAUCCAGGAAGAGCCUGUGACAUCCAACGGGAACAUGAAGAAACCCAGCAACACCUACAAGGCGGAUCUUUGCGCUCUCCCCUGUCCUGUGUCCAUCUCCUGGAGAAACCUCUAUCUAUGCAUGGGGUGAACCUCCCCCUUCCCAGCCCAGCCAAGGGACCAUGAGAAAGGCAGGAGGGAGCUGCUAUCCCUGGAAGUCUCCAAGGCCAGGCUGGAUGUGGCUCUGGACAGCCGCUUCUGGGGCUUGGUGUCCUGUCCCUGCAGGGGCUUUUCCAAGUGCUUUGAGGCUUCCAGCUUGGCAACUCCCAUCUGAAGUCACUGGAGAAGGCAUCCCAAGGGAGAUGAGCACCACACACCACCCAGGGACCAGAGGGCCCAAGGAUCCAGCAGCUGCUGGUGAAACAUGAUCAAGAGUGGUGUGUCUGGAAGGAAGUGGUCAAGGAUAAUCCCUUGCUCACACUGUAGAGGAUAAACUCACUGGGGUGUGGGGUUCAGGAGACAUGGUUUUGGAAGGGCCAGACGCUGGGCAGGCUGGAGGACUCUUUCUUCACACCAGGAGAAUUCCCAAGGG